CUAAAUCAAUGAAAAUUAGAAGGUGCCAGGGUCACAUGGAGAGAAACAAAAUGAUUGGGAGUGGAAUUUAAAAAUGCUUGUGUCCCGAUCAAUGACUCACUGUAAUUGUGCACGAUAGUUGCUGAUGUGAUCCUCUGGAGGAAGAAGAAUGUAACUGUGGGAAUUCUCAUCGGUGUACUUACAUCUUGGAUCAUCUUUGAGGUAGCUGGAUAUACCCUUCUGUCGCUUGUCUCAAAUGUUCUGCUUCUCUUGAUCUCCAUCCUUUUUGUGUGGGCAAAGGCUGCCGAAGUUCUCAACAGAUACACAGUGGUAGGUGUUUUGUCCCAGUCUCAAGCCGACAAUCCUUUUUUAUCAGUAUAUCUAGUAGAAGUAAGCAUGCAGAUCGUUGUCUUCGAGGCCGACUAGCUAUUUUGUGUUUUUUUUUUGUUUUAAAUUCGAAUGUCACUAUCUACUUUGAAACAGAACUAUUUAGUCUUUGUGUAUAGUU